rnacentral:tRNA from 1 species
GCCGAAGUGGCGGAAUUGGUAGACGCAGUAGACUCAAAAUCUACCGGGCUUACGCCCGUGUCGGUUCGAGUCCGACCUUCGGCA